GCCAAGAAUCUUCCGCAAUGGGGGAAACCCUGACGGAGCGACGCCGCGUGAAGGAUGAAGGUCUUCGGAUUGUAAACUUCUUUUGUUCGGGAAGAAUAAGGGGCGAGGAAAUGCGACCCCGAUGACGGUACCGAAUGAAUAAGCCCCGGCUAAUUACGUGCCAGCAGCCGCGGUAAUACGUAAGGGGCAAGCGUUGCUCGGAAUUACUGGGCGUAAAGGGCGUGUAGGCGGUUCUGCAAGUCGAAUGUAAAAGACCGAGGCUCAACCUCGGGAAUGCGUUCGAAACGGCAGGGCUUGAGUCUGGUGGAGGGUGAUGGAAUUCCCGGUGUAGCGGUGAAAUGCGUAGAGAUCGGGAAGAACACCGAAGGCGAAAGCAGUCACCUAUGCCAAGACUGACGCUGAGGCGCGAAAGUAUGGGGAUCAAACAGGAUUAGAAACCCCUGUAGUCC
rnacentral:rRNA from 1 species